AAUUUUAAAAUUUUGGGUUUUUUUUUUCUUUUGGUUUUGGGCUAAAUGGAUUUGAAACUGGGUUUUGAUUGGGAUUAUUAUAUAUGGAUGAGAGACUUCAGCUUGUGGACUUGGGAUCCAUAUGUUUCAUACUUUCAAAACCAAUUCAUCGUGGUGGUGAGGUGGUCUAUGAAGUUGCUGAACUCGUUACAUAGCUUUUUUACAUUAAUGUCAAAUUUGAUGUCCA
rnacentral:lncRNA from 1 species